CCUACGGGCGGCAGCAGUGGGGAAUAUUGCACAAUGCGGGAAACCCUGACGCAGCGACGCCGCGUGAGUGAAGAAGUACUUCGGUACGUAAAGCUCUGUCAGCAGGGAAGAAAAUGACGGUACCUGACCAAGAAUCUCCGGCUAACUACGUGCCAGCAGCCGCGGUAAUACGUAGGGGGCAAGCGUUCUCCGGAGUUACUGGGUGUAAAGGGAGCGUAGACGGCAGGGCAAGUCUGGAGUGAAAGGCGGGGGCUCAACCCCCGGACUGCUCGGGAAACUGCCAGGCUGGAGUGCAGGAGAGGUAAGUGGAAUUCCUAGUGUAGCGGUGAAAUGCGUAGAUAUUAGGAGGAACACCAGUGGCGAAGGCGGCUUACUGGACUGUAACUGACGUUGAGGCGCGAAAGCGUGGGGAGCAAACAGGAUUAGAUACCCUUGUAGUC
rnacentral:rRNA from 1 species